CCUACGGGAGGCAGCAGUGAGGAAUAUUGCUCAAUGGGGGCAACCCUGAAGCAGCAACGCCGCGUGGAGGAUGAAGGUUUUCGGAUUGUAAACUCCUUUUGUUAGAGAAGAUAAUGACGGUAUCUAACGAAUAAGCACCGGCUAACUCCGUGCCAGCAGCCGCUGUAAUACGGAGGGUGCAAGCGUUACUCGGAAUCACUGGGCGUAAAGAGCGCGUAGGCGGGAUAGCAAGUCAGAUGUGAAAUCCUAUGGCUUAACCAUAGAACUGCAUUUGAAACUGUUAUUCUAGAGUAUGGGAGAGGUAGGUGGAAUUCUUGGUGUAGGGGUAAAAUCCGUAGAGAUCAAGAGGAAUACUCAUUGCGAAGGCGACCUACUAGAACAUAACUGACGCUGAUGCGCGAAAGCGUGGGGAGCAAACAGGAGUAGAUACCCUUGUAGUC
rnacentral:rRNA from 1 species